rnacentral:rRNA from 1 species
CGGAGGAUCCAAGCGUUAUCCGGAUUUAUUGGGUUAAAGGGUGCGUAGGUGGCUUUUUAAGUCAGGGGUGAAAGACGGUAGCUUAACUAUCGCAGUGCCUUUGAUACUGAAGAGCUUGAAUGAACUAGAGGUAGGCGGAAUGUGACAAGUAGCGGUGAAAUGCAUAGAUAUGUCACAGAACACCAAUUGCGAAGGCAGCUUACUAUGGUUAGAUUGACACUGAGGCACGAAAGCGUGGGGGAUCAAACAGGAUUAGAUACCCUGGUAGUCCACGCCCUAAACGAUGAAUACUCGAUGUUGGCGAUAUACGGUCAGCGUCUAAGCGAAAGCGUUAAGUAUUCCACCUGGGGAGUACGCCCGCAAGGGUG